UACGUAGGGGGCAAGCGUUGUCCGGACUCAUUGGGCGUAAAGAGCGUGUAGGCGGCCAGGUAGGUCGGUUGUGAAAACUGGAGGCUCAACCUUCAGAGGUCGACCGAAACCAUCUGGCUAGAGUCCGGGAGAGGAGAGUGGAAUUCCUGGUGUAGCGGUGAAAUGCGCAGAUAUCAGGAGGAACACCAAUGGCGAAGGCAGCUCGCUGGGACGUGACUGACGCUGAGACGCGAAAGCGUGGGGAGCAAACAGG
rnacentral:rRNA from 1 species